AUUCUCGGGGCGGGGUGAAAUUCCCCACCGGCGGUGACAGCCCGCGAGCGCCUUGGUUUCACGACCAAGGGUCAGCAGAUUUGGUGAAAUUCCAAAGCCGACGGUUAUAGUCCGGAUGAAAGAGAAU
rnacentral:ncRNA from 1 species